rnacentral:rRNA from 1 species
GACGAACGCUGGCGGCGUGCUUAACACAUGCAAGUCGAACGGUGAAGCGCCUUCCUUUUUGGUGGGUGUGGAUGAGUGGCGAACGGGUGAGUAACACGUGAGUAACCUGCCCCCUUCUUCUGGAUAACCGCAUGAAAGUGUGGCUAAUACGGGAUAUUCUGGGUCUGUCGCAUGAUGGGUCUGGGAAAGAUAUUGUUUCGGUGGGGGAUGGGCUCGCGGCCUAUCAGCUUGUUGGUGGGGUGAUGGCCUACCAAGGCGGUGACGGGUAGCCGGCCUGAGAGGGUGGACGGGCACACUGGGACGGAGACACGGCCCAGACUCCUACGGGAGGCAGCAGUGAGGAAUAUUGCACGAUGGGCGCAAGCCUGAUGCAGCGACGCCGCGUGAGGGAUGGAGGCCUGCGGGUUGUGAACCUCUUUCGCCAGUGAAGCAGGCCUGCCUCGUUUGUGGGUGGGUUGACGGUAGCUGGAGAAGAAGCGCCGGCUAACUACGUG